CUACGGGCGGCUGCAGUCGAGAAUCUUUCGCAAUGGGGGAAACCCUGACGACGCGACGCCGCGUGGAGGAUGAAGGCCUUCGGGUUGUAAACUCCUGUCAGCAGGGGAGAACAAGUUGUCGGUGAAUAACUGACAGCUUUGACAGUACCUGCAGAGGAAGCCACGGCUAACUCUGUGCCAGCAGCCGCGGUAAUACAGAGGUGGCAAGCGUUGUUCGGAUUUAUUGGGCGUAAAGGGUCCGUAGGCGGCCUAGAAAGUCAGAUGUGAAAGCCCACAGCUCAACUGUGGAACUGCAUUUGAAACUUCUGGGCUCGAGUGUGAUAGGGGUAAAGGGAAUUCCCGGUGUAAGGGUGAAAUCUGCAGAGAUCGGGAGGAACACCAGUCGCGAAGGCGCUUUACUGGAUCACUACUGACGCUGAGGGACGAAAGCCAGGGGAGCAAACGGGAUUAGAUACCCCAGUAGUC
rnacentral:rRNA from 1 species